rnacentral:rRNA from 1 species
UAAUACGAAGGGUGCAAGCGUUACUCGGAAUUACUGGGCGUAAAGCGUGCGUAGGUGGUUCGUUAAGUCUGAUGUGAAAGCCCUGGGCUCAACCUGGGAAUGGCAUUGGAUACUGGCGACCUAGAGUGCGGUAGAGGGUGGCGGAAUUCCCGGUGUAGCAGUGAAAUGCGUAGAUAUCGGGAGGAACAUCCGUGGCGAAGGCGGCCACCUGGACCAGCACUGACACUGAGGCACGAAAGCGUGGGGAGCAAACAGGAUUAGAUACCCUGGUAGUCCACGCCCUAAACGAUGCGAACUGGAUGUUGGGUGCAACUUGGCACUCAGUAUCGAAGCUAACGCGUUAAGUUCGCCGCCUGGGAAGUACGGUCGCAAGACUG